GAUGAACGCUGGCGGCGUGCCUAAUACAUGCAAGUCGAGCGAACAGACGAGGAGCUUGCUCCUCUGACGUUAGCGGCGGACGGGUGAGUAACACGUGGAUAACCUACCUAUAAGACUGGGAUAACUUCGGGAAACCGGAGCUAAUACCGGAUAAUAUAUUGAACCGCAUGGUUCAAUAGUGAAAGACGGUUUUGCUGUCACUUAUAGAUGGAUCCGCGCCGCAUUAGCUAGUUGGUAAGGUAACGGCUUACCAAGGCAACGAUGCGUAGCCGACCUGAGAGGGUGAUCGGCCACACUGGAACUGAGACACGGUCCAGACUCCUACGGGAGGCAGCAGUAGGGAAUCUUCCGCAAUGGGCGAAAGCCUGACGGAGCAACGCCGCGUGAGUGAUGAAGGUCUUCGGAUCGUAAAACUCCGUUAUUAGGGAAGAACAAAUGUGUAAGUAACUAUGCACGUCUUGACGGUACCUAAUCAGAAAGCCACGGCUAACUACGU
rnacentral:rRNA from 1 species